AGUGAACGCUGGCGGUAGGCCUAACACAUGCAAGUCGAACGGCAGCACAGUAAGAGCUUGCUCUUACGGUUGGCGAGUGGCGGACGGGUGAGGAAUACAUCGGAAUCUACUUUUUCGUGGGGGAUAACGUAGGGAAACUUACGCUAAUACCGCAUACGACCUACGGGUGAAAGCAGUGGAUCUUCGGACCUUGCGCGAUUGAAUGAGCCGAUGUCGGAUUAGCUAGUUGGCUGGGUAAAGGCCCACCAAGGCGACGAUCCGUAGCUGGUCUGAGAGGAUGAUCAGCCACACUGGAACUGAGACACGGUCCAGACUCCUACGGGAGGCAGCAGUGGGGAAUAUUGGACAAUGGGCGAAAGCCUGACCCAGCCAUACCGCGUGAGUGAAGAAGGCCUUCGGGUUGUAAAGCCCUGUUGUUGGGAAAGAAAAGCAGCAGGUUAAUACCUCGCUGUUCUGACGGUACCCAAAGAAUAAGCACCGGCUAACUUCGUG
rnacentral:rRNA from 1 species